AGUGAACGCUGGCGGUAGGCCUAACACAUGCAAGUCGAACGGCAGCACAGUAAGAGCUUGCUCUUACGGGUGGAGAGUGGCGGACGGGUGAGGAAUACAUCGGAAUCUACUUUUUCGUGGGGGAUAACGUAGGGAAACUUACGCUAAUACCGCAUACGACCUACGGGUGAAAGCAGGGGAUCUUCGGACCUUGCGCGAUUGAAUGAGCCGAUGUCGGAUUAGCUAGUUGGCGGGGUAAAGGCCCACAAAGGCGACGAUCCGUAGCUGGUCUGAGAGGAUGAUCAGCCACACUGUAACUGAGACACGGUCCAGACUCCUACGGGAGGCAGCAGUGGGGAAUAUUGGACAAGGGGCGCAAGCCUGAUCCAGCCAUACCGCGUGGGUGAAGAAGGCCUUCGGGUUGUAAAGCCCUUUUGUUGGGAAAGAAAAGCAGCAGGUUAAUACCCCGCUGUUCUGACGGUACCCAAAGAAUAAGCACCGGCUAACUUCGUG
rnacentral:rRNA from 1 species